rnacentral:tRNA from 1 species
GCAUUGGUGAUUCAAUGGUAGAAUUCUUGCCUUCCAUGUGGGAGACUGUGGUUCAACUCUGGCUAAUGCA